rnacentral:rRNA from 1 species
CAUUACCGAGUUUACAACUCCCAAACCCAAUGUGAACGUUACCAAACUGUUGCCUCGGCGGGAUCUCUGCCCCGGGCGCGUCGCAGCCCCGGACCAAGGCGCCCGCCGGAGGACCAACCAAAACUCUUAUUGUAUACCCCCUCGCGGGUUUUUUACUAUCUGAGCCAUCUCGGCGCCCCUCGUGGGCGUUUCGAAAAUGAAUCAAAACUUUCAACAACGGAUCUCUUGGUUCUGGCAUCGAUGAAGAACGCAGCGAAAUGCGAUAAGUAAUGUGAAUUGCAGAAUUCAGUGAAUCAUCGAAUCUUUGAACGCACAUUGCGCCCGCCAGUAUUCUGGCGGGCAUGCCUGUCCGAGCGUCAUUUCAACCCUCGAACCCCUCCGGGGGGUCGGCGUUGGGGAUCGGCCCUUUACGGGGCCGGCCCCGAAAUACAGUGGCGGUCUCGCCGCAGCCUCUCCUGCGCAGUAGUUUGCACACUCGCAUCGGGAGCGCGGCGCGUCCACAGCCGUUAAACACCCCAAACUUCUGAAAUGUUGACCUCGGAUCAGGUAGGAAUACCCGCUGAACUUAA